rnacentral:tRNA from 1 species
GGGCGGGUGGCGGAAUUGGUAGACGCGCUGGCUUCAGGUGCCAGUGUUCGAGAGAACGUGGGGGUUCGAGUCCCCCCUCGCCCA